GUCUACGGACACAUCACCCUGAAUGUACUCCAUUUCAGCUGAUCUAGAGAGCUAAGCAGGAUCAGGCCUGGCUUUGAGGAUC
rnacentral:rRNA from 1 species